GAUGAACGCUGGCGGCGUGCCUAAUACAUGCAAGUCGAGCGAACAGACGAGGAGCUUGCUCCUCUGACGUUAGCGGCGGACGGGUGAGUAACACGUGGAUAACCUACCUAUAAGACUGGGAUAACUUCGGGAAACCGGAGCUAAUACCGGAUAAUAUAUUGAACCGCAUGGUUCAAUAGUGAAAGACGGUUUUGCUGUCACUUAUAGAUGGAUCCGCGCCGCAUUAGCUAGUUGGUAAGGUAACGGCUUACCAAGGCAACGAUGCGUAGCCGACCUGAGGGGGUGAUCGGCUACACUGGAACUGAGACACGGUCCAGACUCCUACGGGAGGCAGCAGUAGGGAAUCUUCCGCAAUGGGCGAAAGCCUGACGGAGCAACGCCGCGUGAGUGAUGAAGGUCUUCGGAUCGUAAAACUCUGUUAUUAGGGAAGAACAAAUGUGUAAGUAACUAUGCACGUCUUGACGGUACCUAAUCAGAAAGCCACGGCUAACUACGUG
rnacentral:rRNA from 1 species